rnacentral:lncRNA from 1 species
GUUACACACAUUCAUGCUGUUGCAGGCGUGCAGGUCGGUGGUGUUACAUUCAUGCUGUUGCAGGCGUGCAGGUCGGUGGUGUUACAUUCACACUGUUGCAGGUGUGCAGGUUGGUGUUACACACAUUCACACUGUUGCAGGCUUGCAGGUCGGUGGUGUUACACACAUUCACACUUGCAGGCGUGCAGGUCAGUGGUGUUACACACAUUCAUGCUGUUGCAGGCAUGCAGGUCGGUAGUGUUACACAUUCAUGCUGUUGCAGGCGUGCAGGUCGGUGGUGUUGCACAUUCAUGCUGUUGCAGGCAUGCAGGUCGGUGGUGUUACAUUCACGCUGUUGCAGGAGUACAGGUCAGUGGUGUUACACACAUUCAUGCUGUUGUGCAGCUAUCACUUCCAUCUCCAGAGCCCUUUUCAUCUUAAAACUGAAGCUCUCCCAU